ACUGCUCUUAGAGGCAUUCUGGGUGUGGCUUCUGUGUCGCAUGUGCAUUAUUAAGUGGCAGAGAGGAGGCUAUGUCUAAACUCAAUUUUAUGAUCUAUGAAUACCAAAAUGAUUAGUAGCCUAACAUU